rnacentral:tRNA from 1 species
ACAAAAUGUAGCUUAACAUAAAGCACCUCGCUUACACCGAGUUUAUGUCUGUUUAAUUCAGAUCAUUUUGA